ACCCAAGUUCAUGCAGGUUUUGUUCAGUGCAGCCUCUCUGUCUACGUAGCCAUUGAAUGUACACAAUAUAUGCAGGGUUUGCGGUACCAUAAUACACUUAAAUCUUUUUGUUCCUCACACCCGCUUAAAAUGGUUUGCUAUUGAUAUCGGAGUUAAUUAUAUUGCAUUUGUUGUUUAGUAACACUGAUGUAAAGAUUUGAGUCAAACCUUUCAGCAACUUUUUGGUUGUACUGUUAAGAGACUAGUUGAAAUGAAAGGCAGUAAUUUUGGUGGUAAGUUUUCUGACACUUAACCUCUUACAGAGGUCUUACAUUUGAUGUUGUAUUCAGCCACUUACGUCAGAUUAUUUAAAAACAACUCUGCUUACGUCGCCAGUUCAAAAACUCAGCGGGAGGUAAGACGUGAAAUAAAGGGAAUCAGCUUCUAAAAGGAUAAUGUCAUAACAGUCUGAUGGGAUUAUAUUGCUUAGAACUUUCUAUUAUGUUAGUCAAGUGAAACGCUGGCAAUACUAGGCGACUUAAACUUAUUGUGAUGGAAGGAUUUUUUAGGUUGCUUCUGGCAACCGUACAAAACCAAAACUCUCUCAUAGUUGUUAAUCCAGAUACAUAAACAGUAACCAAGCCGACUGACGGCGAAAAAACUACGGCGAUGGAAAAUCAGUAAAGCCUGUCCUGAAAUCGUCGUUUCUUUAUGAUUUUUCUCUGCGUUAACAGAGAGCUAGUGAGCUGCUGGAUAAGGACUGCUGAAUACUGAUGCUAGAAUGAACAACUUCUUAACUUCGCUUGGAGUUUGAAUGAACACUGGGGAAUGAAAGCUAACAAGAAUGGCAAAGUGUUUUAAUCCAGGGCUUCCGAGGAUCGUGGAAGAAACGGAAUCAUAUGGCGGCCAGGUAACGGCAUCCAAACCAACAGUUCCAACAGUCCAAAAGGUGUCCUGGACAGAGAGCAGUAUUUCUCAAGAGUGGCUGAAGCGAAUGAGCCUCGUUAAAACAUCUGUAUUUGCCAUUAAACCCGGAAUAAAUCAAAUCAAGAUUAACACAAAAGACAUGCAAAUCUCUACAACGCAAUACACAAGCAGACAGUUCAAAAGUGGUCGUAAAAGUCAAAGCCUUGAUGGUCUCAGGAGGCAAUCUGCUUUAACAGAGUUAAAAGAAAGAGCUAAAAUUUCAAGCUUAAAUCGACCUUCAUCAGUGAAGUCCCUAAAUAUUGAAGAUACCAACAGGCGGAAACCUGAUUCAACGUAUAUCUGUUUGUUAAAUGGAAUAACAUAACCAAGGAUUACAGUAGGCACACGAAAUUGCACGGAAGGUAAUACACAGUGAUGAGUAUCUGUUGUACACUUGAGCAAGGAUUGGAUGAAACGGAAAUUGAUAUAAAUGGUGUUAAUCGUGCUUAGCUUUGAUUGAUAUUGAACGAAAUGGCGACUCAGAAAUAUGUCCAGCAACUAACAGCAUUCGCGGCCUUGUGAGAGACAGAAGCUUCUGGAUGUAAUGCUUGAUUGCAUUCAAACAAUUAAAUUAAUUAUUCACCUAAACAGAUCGUGAAUAAGUAAAUGAAGACAUUGUCCUAAAGUAAAUUUGUCAAAUUCCUGGAAAUACAACCAUUGAAUGGCG